AGAGUUUGAUCCUGGCUCAGAUUGAACGCUGGCGGCGGGCCUAACACAUGCAAGUCGAGCGGUAGCACAAGAGAGCUUGCUCUCUGGGUGACGAGCGGCGGACGGGUGAGUAAUGUCUGGGAAACUGCCUGAUGGAGGGGGAUAACUACUGGAAACGGUAGCUAAUACCGCAUAACGUCUUCGGACCAAAGUGGGGGACCUUCGGGCCUCACGCCAUCAGAUGUGCCCAGAUGGGAUUAGCUAGUAGGUGGGGUAAUGGCUCACCUAGGCGACGAUCCCUAGCUGGUCUGAGAGGAUGACCAGCCACACUGGAACUGAGACACGGUCCAGACUCCUACGGGAGGCAGCAGUGGGGAAUAUUGCACAAUGGGCGCAAGCCUGAUGCAGCCAUGCCGCGUGUGUGAAGAAGGCCUUCGGGUUGUAAAGCACUUUCAGCGAGGAGGAAGGGUAGUGUGUUAAUAGCACAUUGCAUUGACGUUACUCGCAGAAGAAGCACCGGCUAACUCCGUGCCAGCAGCCGCGGUAAUACGGAGGGCGCAAGCGUUAAUCGGAAUUACUGGGCGUAAAGCGCACGCAGGCGGUUUGUUAAGUCAGAUGUGAAAUCCCCGCGCUUAACGUGGGAACUGCAUUUGAAACUGGCAAGCUAGAGUCUUGUAGAGGGGGGUAGAAUUCCAGGUGUAGCGGUGAAAUGCGUAGAGAUCUGGAGGAAUACCGGUGGCGAAGGCGGCCCCCUGGACAAAGACUGACGCUCAGGUGCGAAAGCGUGGGGAGCAAACAGGAUUAGAUACCCUGGUAGUCCAA
rnacentral:rRNA from 1 species